rnacentral:rRNA from 1 species
GACGAACCGUGCGAACGUUGUUCGGAAUCACUGGGCUUAAAGGGCGCGUAGGCGGCUUGCUAAGUCAGGGGUGAAAUCCUGCAGCUUAACUGGAGAACGGCCGUGGAUACUGGCGAGCUCGAGGGGGGUAGGGGCUUGCGGAACUGUGCGUGGAGCGGUGAAAUGCGUUGAUAUGCACAGGAACUCCGGUGGCGAAGGCGGCGAGCUGGACCGUUUCUGACGCUGAGGCGCGAAAGCCAGGGGAGCGAACGGG